rnacentral:antisense_RNA from 1 species
GGUAACCCAGUAGCCCAAAAGACACAGUCCUUCUCAACAAAGCCUAACCAACAGGCAAUGGAUUACAGUGAUUCAGAGGAAAGAUAAGAAGGUUCCUUUGUCUUGGACCUCCACUAGACAUCAAGGAAACAUGCCAAAAAAGUAAACAACAAAGGCCCCCACACCUUUCCAAACUACAACCCAAAAUAAGUUGAUCUGAGAAACAAAUUGCAAUGCCGCAUGCAAAGCAGAUGUGUCCAAAUUCAUGUAGGACCAGACACAUCCUGAACCUUUCAGUGCAACAGCUGUUCAAGACUUUCUUCAAAAUCAUCCAAGCACAAGGGUUGAUAAAAUACACACAAAAUGGCUGAUGCUCAAACCAACCAAAACACCAGGCUCUUUGCUGAAACCUCUGAGAAGGGUUCCUGGCUCCAGGUCAGCCUCAAUGGAAUAAAGAUCACCUACCACUUCAAACUGAAGAGCUGAAGGAGUUGUAUCAAGAUACAGAGUGCAGCAAGUAUAGGAAACAUUAGAGAAACUGACCUGUCUGGAGAUGGCAAGCUGCAGAGCCAGCAUCUAAAAUGGCAGCCGAAGCUUGUCGGCUUUGCGGAGGGCCUCGAGGUGAAGAAUCCAUAGGCCCUGAGGUCUGAUCUCCCCAGCAGAUGAGUCUCUGUGUCAUGCUGGGACACAGUGAAGCCAUGUGUGCACUUGGCAAGGCGAUGGCUGCUUUGACAGGGUCUUACUCUAUCACCCAGGCUGGAGUGCAGUGGCAUGAUCACUGCUCAUUGCAGCCUCAACCUCCCAGGGCCCAAGCGAUCCUCCCAUCUUAGCCUCCCAAGGUGCUGGGACCACAGGCGUGCUCCCCACGCCCAGCUAAUUUAUAGAAUUUUUUGUAGACCCGGGGUUUCAACAUGCUAUCCAGGCUAGUCUGGAACUACUAGGCUCAAGUGAUCCUCCCACUUUGGCAUCCCAAAACCCUGGGAUUACAGGCAUAAGCCACCACGCCCAGCUACUAAAUGUCUUAUUUCUAAGGUCCACUCAGUAUAUAGCAGCUUUUAUAAUUUUACAAAUAUUGGCUUUCCAUGAAUUUGUACAUCAAAGAAUAUUUUUCUUUGGUGUUUAUAAAAGUGAGAUUGAAAAAUCAUGGUUUCUCUCAUAAUUAUUCAGGAAAAAUAAUACAAAAUUAUGAAGAAAUUUUUAGAUUUAUUUUAUCUUCUUUCACAAAUAAUAAAUUUACAGAACCCUCAAAAAGAA